rnacentral:rRNA from 1 species
UACAGAGGUCCCAAGCGUUGUUCGGAUUCACUGGGCGUAAAGGGUGCGUAGGUGGUCAGGUAAGUCUGAUGUGAAAGCUCUGGGCUCAACCCAGAAAUGGCAUUGGAUACUAUCUGGCUUGAGGAAUGGAGGGGUGACUGGAAUACUUGGUGUAGCAGUGAAAUGCGUAGAUAUCAAGUGGAACACCAGUGGCGAAGGCGAGUCCCUGGACAUUUCCUGACACUGAGGCACGAAAGCUAGGGGAGCAAACAGG